CAAAAACAUAACACACAGGGAUAUAAUUUCUAAUUAGUGGGGUAAUAGCUGCUUGAUCCAAGGAGACAUCUGACUGCUAUUUUGGGGUCAAGAAGGAAUUUUUUCCUAGUUUGUGGCAAAAUAGGAAGUGCUCCAGACCAGGUUUUUUGCCUUCUUUUGGAUCAACAGUGUGACGAAGUGCCCUUCGCCACUUGUGCCUGGAGAGGACUGCUU